GGCCGAGGCAGGAGGAGUGCAGCCCACAAGACAACGCCUUAGGACUGAUGCACCUCCGCCGGCUCUUCACGGAGUUGUGCCAUCCUCCCCGGCACAUGACUCAGAAGGAACAAGAAGAGAAACUGUAUAUGAUGCUGCCAGUGUUUAACAGGGUUUUUGGAAAUGCUCCGCCGAAUACAAUGACAGAAAAAUUUUCUGAUCUUCUGCAGUUCACAACACAAGUCUCACGACUAAUGGUGACAGAAAUUCGAAGGAGAGCAUCAAACAAAUCCACAGGUAUUUUUACAGUAGCCAGCAAAAACUGAUUUGUUUGAAUGAACAAGCAGUUCUGUAAAAGUCCCAUUAAAAUUAAAUGGAAAACAGACCUUGUUCUCAGCACAUUGAGUUCAUUUACCCAUUCCCUUUCCCUUUCUUAGAGUCACAUUCUUUUCCUGGUUUCAGCAUCUUCAACUCUCCAGUAGUUCUGCUCAAGGCUACUCUGCCUGGACCACUACCACUUCCACCC
rnacentral:lncRNA from 1 species